rnacentral:rRNA from 1 species
AUAUUGUACAAUAGGCGAAAGCCUGAUCCAGCCAAGCCGCGUGUGGGAAGAAGUUCGUCGGAUUGUAAAGCACUUUAUGUUGCGCGGACGGGCAGCAGGCUAUUACCUUGCUGUUUUGCCGUUACCGACACACUAAGCACCGUCUAACUUCGUGCAAGCAGCCGCGGUAAUACGAAGGGUGCAAGCGUUAAUCGGAAUUACUGGGCGUAAAGCGCGCGUAGGUGGUUUAUUAAGUUGGAAGUGAAGGCCCCGGGCUCAACCUGGGAACUGCUUUCAAAACUGGCAAGCUAGAGUAUGGCAGAGGGUGGUGGAAUUUCCUGUGUAGCGGUGAAAUGCGUAGAUAUAGGAAGGAACACCAGUGGCGAAGGCGACCACCUGGGCUAAUACUGACACUGAGGUGCGAAAGCGUGGGGAGCAAAC